GUCGCGUCCCCGGCCACUCCCCCGUCCCUUGCACGCAGACCUCGGGGUUUCAGACCUCGGUGCGGCGGAUAGGCGCCGCCGAGCCGUUGUUCCCUCCGAGCCCCGGGGGACCGCUGCCAGGCUGCGCCUGAGGACAGGCAUGCAACGUCCGCCGAAGAGCGCAGCCGGGGGCCUGGGGAGGACCCUUCCCAUCCUGGCGCCUUGGACAAUCGAGGAAGGCUCCGAGAAGGAGGUUUUGCUAUAAGGAGCAGCAGAGACAAGCUAGCAGACACAGGAGGAAGACAUCAGAAGACAGGAGGCCGAAGCACCUACAAGCCAGGACCUCCAAGGAAUGUUGCAGGCUACAGAAGCUGAAAGAGACAGAAAAGGACCACCCCCUAGAGCCACUUGCUGAAUGUGGACGUCUAUCUUCCCAAACUGUGAGAAAACAAGUGUGUAUGCUAGCUACUGGAGACAGCAAGGAGCUGAGUUCCACCAGCCAGUGACCUAAUGCGCCCGGAUGGGGAUUCGUCCAAAGAGAGAGCCUCCAGAGAAAGCCCAGUGUGGCCAACCCUUUGAUUUAGGACUUGUGAGACCCCCUGCGGAAAACCCAGUCACACCUGACUUCUGUUAGCUGUGAUGGACUACCAAAUGGGUGUUGUUUCCAGCUUCUCAGUCUGUGGGUUCAUUUGCCACCCAGCAAAGAAAAUGAGCAAAGGGGGUGUCCUGGAGAAGUGGUCUUGGAGACAGCUUCUCAGCUAUUUUCCAGCAGUUUGACUUGUGCUGUUACCUAAAAACUGGCUUGUGUUCUUCCUCAUCGUCCCAGCCGGUUCCCAUGGAGUCUGUGAAAUGACCCCCUAUUUCUCCAUUUGUCUGAAAGGGAGGCUGUUCACGUGGUCGGGGCUUUUCCCUUCCCCACCCCACCAGAGUUGUGGAGGAAAGCGGCUCAAAAGCUUCGCCUUAAGGGUCACUUAAGGGCUGAUGGCCCGGAGCACCUUUCAGUCCGUAGGCAGACAGGUGGCAAGACAGGCCUUGAGGCAGACACUCAGUUGUGUUGGCACCACCUGAGGCCAUCUGCACGUCCUCUGCAGCCCAGGUGAUCAUCAAAAGCCUGCAUUUCAGGGGUGCUGGAGCGUGGGGCCGCCUGGGAGUAUCUGGAGAUGCUGGGCUCCCGGGGCCGCCUGCCACGGGCUCUGAGAAGCAGAGGGGAACACAUGGCUGGCACCCGGCAGGAUGCCCACAGAGAGAAGGGCUCCAUACCGCCAGAGGCAGAGUGACAGGGUGGAUGGAGGACGUGGAAGGGCUGUCCCCAGGACCUUGGGGGUAGCAGGGGCCCUUGGCUGCUGGCUGGGGUCCUCCCAGGCUCCCUGUGUGUGAAAACCCCUGUUGUCCCCCAGGAUCAGAGAUCCUGGCCUGAGCUGCCAUCUGGACCCCGAAACGCCUGUCUCUCCUAGUUGGUAGAGACAUCAGGGAUUGGGGCCAAGCAGAGAUGGGUUCAGGGGCCCUGGUGGUUAGGCACUCGGCUGCUAACCGAAAGGUCGGCAGUUUGAACGCAGCACCUGCUGAGUGGGAGAAAAGGGGUGGCAGUCUUCUUCCAUAAAGAUUAAAAAAAAAAAAAAAUUACUGCCGUUAAGUCGAUUCCAACUCAGCGAACCCAUAGGGUUUCCAAGGCCGUAACUCUUUACGGAAACAGGCUGCCACAUCUUUCUCCCGAGGAGCCGCUGGUGGUUUCAAAGCACCAGCCUUUGGUUAAGCAGUUGGCUGCAUUAACCCCUGUCCCGCUAGGGCUCCUCAGUUACAGCCUUGGAACCCCUGUGGGGCAGUUCUACUCUGCCCUGGGGCACCUGCAGGAGUUGAGGUCAGCCGGACGGCAGCGGGUGAGAGGUAGGUUUGCGGGUAGGCCGCAGGUCGGAGGACAUGCGGGUCUUGUACUGCCUGGGUGUCCUGACCACUUCUCCCUCAGUGUGACCGCCCACCCGCAACAUGCUUCCUCCAGGCCCUGGGGCCCACUCGGGGCGGCAGACAUAAAGAAGGGGCAUCUCUGGGUGGGAAGAGGCAGACAGUCUCCAGCAGGUGAUGGCUUGAGAGCCACCCUGCCUCCUCCAGGGACCUCAGAGGGGUGGGGCGGGCUGGGACCUACCGUGGUGUCAGGGUGUAUGUGCCUCGGUGGUCCAAGCUGCAGCCAGAGCGUAUGGCCGCCCAGAGGAAGGAGCUGAGCAACAUCGCAUAUACCUGGUGGGGGGUAAGGCCGUGGAGAGGCCCGGAGGGGACGUGAGCACCUGCACCAGGCCCGGGGGAGGGGCUCUCUGUCCCGCUGGGAGAUUUCUGAACUCUAUGUGGCUCGGAAGGAGCCCCCCACCAGGCCGCCUCCCCAGGGCCAGUGGCCCUCUCCUCCCUCUGUCCUUCUGGGAUGUGGGGAUGGACAGGUGGAGGGAGAUGGAGGCGGGGGAGGGGGAGGGUACCGUGAAGGCAAGGACGAGGCCAGCCAGGGCGGUGACAAUGCUCAGGUGUGUCCUCAAGAAGCUCCUGACGCCCUGCAGGCAGUCCUGGGAAGAGGGGUGCACAUGGCAGCCUGACCAGCCCCUCCCUGCCCAGGGUGCGCCCAGCCAGGCUGAGUGCUGGGUGAUGGGAAGACAGAGGGUGGGACAGUCCCGAGAAAACCACCCGGAGUUCAGGGAAAAGAGCAUCGCAAACAGGUGCCUCGGGCAGUGGGGUCACCAGGGUUGGUGUCACCCCCCAUGGACCUCCUCCCGUACCAGACCACACAGAAUCCUUAGUCAUGUUUUUUGUACUGAUGUUAUUUGUAAAUCGUAAUUCCCCUAUAUCACUCCUUCUUUUCCUUUAAUCACUAGCUCGUUCUCAAAAAGGUUAUAUUGAUAGAGGUUCACGAAUACUAAUUA